UACGGGGGGGGCAAGCGUUGUUCGGAAUUACUGGGCGUAAAGAGCUCGUAGGCGGUUCAGUAAGUCGGGUGUGAAAACUUUGGGCUUAACCCAAAGCGUGCAUCUGAUACUGCUGUGACUUGAGUUCGGUAGGGGAGUGGGGAAUUCCUAGUGUAGCGGUGAAAUGCGCAGAUAUUAGGAGGAACACCGGUGGCGAAGGCGCCACUCUGGGCCGAAACUGACGCUGAGGAGCGAAAGCAUGGGUAGCAAACAGG
rnacentral:rRNA from 1 species